AAUUAUACCAGUAAAUAAGUAAGGAUAACUUGGAUAAAAGUUCCUUUACUUACAUAUAACAUAUAAAAGUUAAUAUGACUUCUAUCCCAACUAAACUUGAUUCAAGUUGAUUUUUCAACUAUCUACGAGUUUAUCCAACCCUUGGCACAGAUUUACUGCCCAUUCUAGCUCAUCUGUCUACAACGACAAUCAUUCAAGACUAAAAAGCUUGCUCAUUGUAUAACGUUUAAACGUCAAACAAAACAUAAAUGCAGUUUCUUUUCCAGAUUCUCCAGAUCUUGACCAAUUUGUAGCUAAUGAUCUAUCUUUGGUUUGUCUUAUUGAUUUGUCCUCUCUCGUAACACGACAUAGCUACUUCCUGUAGUAGUUUUCUGUAUCUUGGAGAUCUUCCUCAAUACUUCAGCAAAAGCAGCCUUAUCCUCUUUACAUUUCAAACGAGAUUUAAAUUGGCUGACAAGAUCCUGUGUGGUCACUGGUUUUCUCUGCAGUAGAACAGCUCUAAUUUCAUCUUCAGUAACAGGACCUGUGGCCGAACUUGGAGCAGUUUUGGAAGAGGAUGAUGCACCCUUUGGAAGAGCAGUGUUCUUUGCAGAAGAUGGGGUUUCGUCCUUCCCAGGUUUGGCAUCCGCCUCUGUUUUCACUUUUUUCAAGGGAGCACCACUAGUUGGUUUCGAUUCAUCUCCAUUAGCUUUUCUUUUAGUCUUAGCUGACUUUGAAGUUGGAGUUCCACGGUUGGAUCCAGAAGCAGCUGCUUUCAAAGGACUGUUGGUCUCAACCGGUUCUUCUUUAGGUGCUUCCUUCGGCUUAGGAGCCAAUACAGGUGAAAUAUCUUCUUCUGUAUCAUCAUCA
rnacentral:misc_RNA from 1 species